AGUACUUUUACCGGCCGUAUCAACUUGUGAACAUUCGCUGAAGCUUAUCACGAUCACGACGAAUGCCGUUCUUGCUCAUAAUAUGGCCGAAUAGCUGAAGUGUCUCACUUGCAAGUUGUGACUGUUUGUUUCCUAGCUGAAGACUAGCUUUUAAGAGGCAGUUUCUUAACACAACGGAGAAAAUAUGGGUAUACAAAAGCACUGAAAGAACUAAUGAUACAUGCAAGGUGGACAAGAUUGAGGACGUAUAUGAGCUAGGUGCCUUCAUGACCAGGUACCACAUAUCUGAAGGACAUAUGAAUAAAACGUAUACUGAAGCCACGUUCUCGUAUCAUUGGGCUGAUCAAGACACCAGCCACCCUUACAAUGAAAUGACAGUUCCAAAUGAAGGCAAGUAAAUAUGUGUUGAUCC